rfam:Cajanus cajan Scaffold132771_18, whole genome shotgun sequence.
GCCAAUGAUGAAGAUAUCGAAUGUGGCUGAAAUGCAAAAAAUUGCAUUUUAUUGAGGAAAAUUUUGAACUAGGACGGUCUGAGGC